CCUGGCGGCCAUAGCGCGGUGGUCCCACCUGAUCCCAUGCCGAACUCAGAAGUGAAACGCCGUAGCGCCGAUGGU
rnacentral:rRNA from 1 species